UUUCCCAAGAGAGGCAGUCUAUAUGUGAAGAAAGCAUAGAAUAAUGCCAACAAGCUUGGCAAAAUGCCAUAGAAAAACCAUCGAGACUAGGAGCUUUGUCUUUUGCCAUCCCACUAAUCACAUAAUGAAACUCAUCUUCAUUAAGGUCUCGUUUGUUUUCACAACACAUCUUAUCUCAUUUCAUCUCAUCUUA